rnacentral:rRNA from 1 species
AUGAACGCUGGCGGCGUGCCUAACACAUGCAAGUCGAACGAAGCGUCCCGCCCGAAGAUGAGGAGUGCUUGCACAAAUCUGAUUCAAUUGGGAUGACUUAGUGGCGGACGGGUGAGUAACGCGUGGGUAACCUGCCUUAUACAGGGGGAUAACAGUUAGAAAUGACUGCUAAUACCGCAUAAGCGCACAGUAUCGCAUGAUACAGUGUGAAAAGCCGAGACGGUAUAAGAUGGACCCGCGUCUGAUUAGCCAGUUGGCAGGGUAACGGCCUACCAAAGCAACGAUCAGUAGCCGGCCUGAGAGGGUGAACGGCCACAUUGGGACUGAGACACGGCCCAAACUCCUACGGGAGGCAGCAGUGGGGGAUAUUGCACAAUGGGGGAAACCCUGAUGCAAGCGACGCCGCGUGAGUGAUGAAGUAUUUCGGUAUGUAAAACUCUAUCAGCAGGGAAGAAAAUGACGGUACCUGACUAAGAAGCUCCGGCUAAAUACGUGCCAGCCGCAGC